rnacentral:misc_RNA from 1 species
UUCUUGGGUGAGCGUGACGACGCCUUCAACGUUGGAAGUUCCCUUGAGAACGGCGACAGCUUUCUUGGUAGCGGCGACGACGGCGAGGGGUUUGGGGGCGGCGGAGGCAGCGAGGGAGAGGGAGUGGCGAGGUAGCUUGAGAGAGGCGCCAUGGAAGGAGGAGGAGAGGGAAGGGGGAGGGGAAGAAUUGGAGAAAGGGGGCAAUGCGAUGUAGUGGGAAAGGGAAGCAGAGAGAAGGGAUUGAGCGGCCAUAGCUGCAAG